rnacentral:rRNA from 1 species
GACGAACGCUGGCGGCGUGCUUAACACAUGCAAGUCGAACGGGUCUGCCCUGUUUUUUGCGGGGUGGGUCAGUGGCGAACGGGUGAGUAACACGUGAGUAACCUGCCCCUCACUUCUGGAUAACCGCUUGAAAGGGUGGCUAAUACGGGGUGUUCUGGCUGUGCCGCAUGGUGUGGCUGGGAAAGAUUCACUUUUGUGGUGUUUUGGUGGGGGAUGGGCUCGCGGCCUAUCAGCUUGUUGGUGGGGUGAUGGCCUGCCAAGGCUUUGACGGGUAGCCGGCCUGAGAGGGUGGGCGGUCACACUGGGACUGAGAUACGGCCCAGACUCCUGCGGGAGGCAGCAGUGGGGGGUAUUGCACAAUGGGCGGAAGCCUGAUGCAGCGACGUCGCGUGAGGGGUGGAGGCCUUCGGGUUGUGAACCUCUUUCGCCGGUGAAGAAGGUCCUGCUCUUUGUGGUGGGGUUGACGGUAGCCGGGUUAUGAAGCGCCGGCUAACUACGUG